rnacentral:rRNA from 1 species
GAACGACUCUCGGCAACGGAUAUCUCGGCUCUCGCAUCGAUGAAGAACGUAGCGAAAUGCGAUACUUGGUGUGAAUUGCAGAAUCCCGUGAACCAUCGAGUUUUUGAACGCAAGUUGCGCCCUAGGCCACCAGGCCGAGGGCACGCCUGCCUGGGCGUCACGCACCGA